rnacentral:rRNA from 1 species
UCAAAGGAAUUGACAGAGCUCCGCACACGCGGUGGAGCAUGUGGUUUAAUUGGAAGAUCUGGGAGCAUCCUUACUUCGGCUAGAAUUCACAUUGACUGAGGGUGAAAGCUCUCUUUAUAUCAAUAUACAAUGGAUAAGGUGCCCCAUGGUUGUCGUCAGCUAAUGACGUGAGGUGUCCGGAUAACUUUCGCAACGAGCGCAACCCCUAUCGUUAGUUGCCAUCAGGUAAUGCCAAUAUUCCUAGUGAAUGCCCCGCCGUAAGUCGGAGGAAGGAGGGGAUGACGGCAAGUCAUCAUGGCCUCUAUCCCCAGGGCUACACAGCAGGUUCAAUGGGGAGUUCAAAGGGCAGCUACCUGGUAACAGGCAGGUAAUUUCAAAAAGCUCGGAACAGUAUAGGAACAAAUUGGCACCUCGACCCCAUGAAGCGGGAAUUUAAAGUAAUCGUAUAUCAGCAAUGAUCCGGUGAAUACGUUCCCGGACCUUGUUCANNNNNNNNGUCAAGCCAUGGAACCGGGAUGUACCCAAAGUCGACCCCCGCAAGGAGUCGCAUAGGGCAAAACUAGUAACUGCGGCUAAGUCCUAACA